AGGCUCAUGGUGUAAUUGGCUAACACACCGGAUUUUGAUUCCGGCAUUCUAGGUUCGAGUCCUAGUGGGCCUGCCA
rnacentral:tRNA from 1 species